AUGAUGGAAGUGCUCUCGCAUUCUGCCUUUGUAAAGCUAACAGUGACUCUCUAGGCUAUAUGGUGGGCUCGACGGCAAGCAAUUCAUGAAGGAAUUUUCCAAAGCCCAUAUGCCACUCACGGUUUUAUUGAGAAAUUCAUAGGGGAGCUGGAGACUAUUGGAAUUAGUAAACCAAAUGGCAACACGGCAGGAACAACACAUACAAAUGCUACAGCUACUGCUCGGCGUUUUGCCAAAAACCAUGUCGAUGCCGGCGUUGCACAGCACAAUAGGGGAGGAACGGCGGCAGCAAUCUGCAGGGAUGACAGCGGCAAUUACUUGGGUAGCUCAGCAUUGGUAAUCCUAUGGAUAUGUGAUGUGGCGACACUGGAAGCAAUCGCUUGCAGGGAAGCGCUUGCGCUGGCUGAAGACUUGCACGUUUAUCAAUUCAUCAUAACUUCAGAUUCAAGGCAAGUGAUCAACGACAUAAACAACAGCUAAAGAGGAAAGUAUGGUGCGAUUAUCUCUGAGAUUAACCAACAAGCCUUUGUUUUCAAUUGUAUUUUUACUUUUGACGGCUGGAGCUCAAAUUUCGAAGCUCACAAUCUUGCAAAGCAUGCACUUACACUCCAAGUUGGCCGCCAUGUUUGGUUAGGUCAGCCUGCAAAUCUUAUCUUCGUCCCUGUAAACAUUGUGAGGUUGUCUCAAAAAAAGUCUCCCAUAGUCGUCGAACGCGUCGCGCGUUUAAAAAUAUUUUGUCGCGCGCCCAUCGUCUGA
rnacentral:rRNA from 1 species